rnacentral:snoRNA from 1 species
CGGCGAGGAGGAGACGAUUUCUGUGUUGAGUUAUGGUGAUGGUUGUAUACGCUAUUCUGAGCCGGCG